rnacentral:rRNA from 1 species
UAGGGAAUCUUCGGCAAUGGACGGAAGUCUGACCGAGCAACGCCGCGUGAGUGAAGAAGGUUUUCGGAUCGUAAAGCUCUGUUGUUAGAGAAGAACGUUGGUAGGAGCGGAAAAUCUACCAAGUGACGGUAACUAACCAGAAAGGGACGGCUAACUACGUGCCAGCAGCCGCGGUAAUACGUAGGUCCCGAGCGUUGUCCGGAUUUAUUGGGCGUAAAGCGAGCGCAGGCGGUUCUUUAAGUCUGAAGUUAAAGGCAGUGGCUUAACCAUUGUACGCUUUGGAAACUGGAGGACUUGAGGGAAGAGGGGGAGAGUGGAAUUCCAUGUGUAGCGGUGAAAUGCGUAGAUAUAGGGAGGAACACCGGUGGGGAGAGCGGCUCUCUGGUCUGUAACGGACGCGGAGGCUCGAAAGCGUGGGGAGCAAACAGG